GGCCUCAUAGCUCAGCUGGUAGAGCAUGCGCGUACAAAGCGUAGGCGGUGUCCGUGCGUGGGUUCGAAUCCCACCGAGGCUA
rfam:Echinostoma caproni strain Egypt genome assembly, scaffold: ECPE_scaffold0001503